rnacentral:rRNA from 1 species
AAGCCCCCCUUAAGAUGAGAUUUCCCAUAGCGUCAAGCUAGUAAGAUCCCUGAAAGAUGAUCAGGUUGAUAGGUCAGAGGUGGAAGCAUGGUGACAUGUGGAGCUGACUGAUACUAAUCGAUCGAGGACUUAACCAUA